rnacentral:tRNA from 1 species
GAGGGUAUAGCUCAGUGGUAGAGUGUAUGCUUAGCAUGCAUGCACAAGGUCCUGGGUUCAAUCCCUGGCACCUCCA